rnacentral:rRNA from 1 species
UACGUAGGGGGCUAGCGUUGUCCGGAUUUAUUGGGCGUAAAGAGCUCGUAGGUGGUUUGUCGCGUUGUUCGUGAAAACUCACAGCUUAACUGUGGGCGUGCGGGCGAUACGGGCAGACUGGAGUACUGCAGGGGAGACUGGAAUUCCUGGUGUAGCGGUGGAAUGCGCAGAUAUCAGGAGGAACACCGGUGGCGAAGGCGGGUCUCUGGGCAGUAACUGACGCUGAGGAGCGAAAGCAUGGGGAGCGAACAGG